rnacentral:rRNA from 1 species
CAGCUUGCUGUUUCGCUGACGAGUGGCGGACGGGUGAGUAAUGUCUGGGAAACUGCCUGAUGGAGGGGGAUAACUACUGGAAACGGUAGCUAAUACCGCAUAACGUCGCAAGACCAAAGAGGGGGACCUUCGGGCCUCUUGCCAUCGGAUGUGCCCAGAUGGGAUUAGCUAGUAGGUGGGGUAACGGCUCACCUAGGCGACGAUCCCUAGCUGGUCUGAGAGGAUGACCAGCCACACUGGAACUGAGACACGGUCCAGACUCCUACGGGAGGCAGCAGUGGGGAAUAUUGCACAAUGGGCGCAAGCCUGAUGCAGCCAUGCCGCGUGUAUGAAGAAGGCCUUCGGGUUGUAAAGUACUUUCAGCGGGGAGGAAGGGAGUAAAGUUAAUACCUUUGCUCAUUGACGUUACCCGCAGAAGAAGCACCGGCUAACUCCGUGCCAGCAGCCGCGGUAAUACGGAGGGUGCAAGCGUUAAUCGGAAUUACUGGGCGUAAAGCGCACGCAGGCGGUUUGUUAAGUCAGAUGUGAAAUCCCCGGGCUCAACCUGGGAACUGCAUCUGAUACUGGCAAGCUUGAGUCUCGUAGAGGGGGGUAGAAUUCCAGGUGUAGCGGUGAAAU